ACGGAAGGCAGCAGUGAGGAAUAUUGGUCAAUGGACGGAAGUCUGAACCAGUCAUGUCGCGUGAAGGAGGAAGGUGCUAUGCAUUGUAAACUUCUUUUAUCUGGGGGUAAAGGCGCCCACGUGUGGGCGUUUGCAAGUACCAGAUGAAUAAGCAUCGGCUAACUCCGUGCCAGCAGCCGCGGUAAUACGGAGGAUGCGAGCGUUAUCCGGAUUUAUUGGGUUUAAAGGGUGCGUAGGCGGGAGAUCAAGUCAGCGGUGAAAUUCUGUGGCUCAACCAUAGGGCUGCCGUUGAAACUGGUUUUCUUGAGUGCGGCAGAGGUAGGCGGAAUGUGUGGUGUAGCGGUGAAAUGCUUAGAUAUCACACAGAACACCGAUUGCGAAGGCAGCUUACUGGAGCGCAACUGACGCUGAGGCACGAAAGCGUGGGGAUCGAACAGGAUUAGAUACCCUGGUA
rnacentral:rRNA from 1 species